UGAUGGUUUCUUAACAAAUAAGCAUACAGAAUUUCAUUCCACGUAUCAGGAACUCCUGGUAAACACCAAUGUAUGCAAUCUGCAAAAAUUUUUGGAUCAGAUCUCUGUUCUUUCGUCAAAAGCUUGCCUCGACGCUCCCCGUAAAUCGAUUGCUUGACCCAGUGCCCCAAUGUGGAUGAUGAAUUGGUUGAGACUCAUUGAAGCAGUUCUCAUCAGUUCCUGGCCUCCAUUCCCAGCUCCUACAACAGAUAAUUUGCCACCUUUCUUAUUAAGCUUCAAUGGAUGGAACUUUGAGAGACAACAAUCGGUAGUCGAUGCUUUUCACUUCUUGGUCGACCAUACAUCUUAAAGACAAAGCUUCCAUGACUCUUUAGAUCAUCUAAAACUAACCGAGCGAGUCCUAUUAUGAGAAGAGCGGCCAAUGCUACCGGAAAGACAGAAUGAACUUGCCGAUCCAAGGAGAGUUGCUUCAACAUUUUGCUUUGUGGGUGAUGAAUUGAUUUUCUUUACUAUUGUUUGACAUUGUGUUUAUUGGGAAGUUACUGAAUUAUUGUUCAUAUCUUUAGUUUGAAGUAUCCUUUCUUUUUUGUGCAACCACCAGUUGGUGGAAUGUAGGUGGUAGUUUCAUGCUUUGCAAAGCUAUGAACUGUUCUCAUGGUCAAUCUGAAACCUUUUUUCCCUCAAACAAAUAGGAUAAGCAGAUUUGCACCGUAGAUCUCUAAAGAAAGAACCAAUAAAUAUCAAUUACUUUGAACUGUA